AUUGAACGCUGGCGGCAUGCCUUACACAUGCAAGUCGAACGGUAACGCGGGGCAACCUGGCGACGAGUGGCGAACGGGUGAGUAAUGCAUCGGAACGUGCCCGGUAGUGGGGGAUAACUGCUCGAAAGAGCAGCUAAUACCGCAUACGACCUGAGGGUGAAAGGGGGGGAUCGCAAGACCUCUCGCUAUCGGAGCGGCCGAUGUCGGAUUAGCUAGUUGGUGGGGUAAAAGCCCACCAAGGCAACGAUCCGUAGCGGGUCUGAGAGGACGACCAGCCACACUGGGACUGAGACACGGCCCAGACUCCUACGGGAGGCAGCAGUGGGGAAUUUUGGACAAUGGACGCAAGUCUGAUCCAGCCAUGCCGCGUGCGGGAAGAAGGCCUUCGGGUUGUAAACCGCUUUUGUCAGGGAAGAAAUCUUCUGAGUUAAUACCUCGGGAGGAUGACGGUACCUGAAGAAUAAGCACCGGCUAACUACGUGCCAGCCGCCGCGGUAAUAC
rnacentral:rRNA from 1 species